rnacentral:misc_RNA from 1 species
UACGGAGGAUCCAAGCGUUAUCCGGAAUUACUGGGCGUAAAGCGUGUGCAGGCGGCUCGUUAAGUCCUUUGUGAAAUCCCGGGGCUCAACUCCGGAAUCGCAGAGGAUACUGGCGGGCUAGAGAACGGUAGAGGUCAACGGAAUCCCCGGUGUAGCGGUGGAAUGCGUAGAUAUCGGGAAGAACACCAGUGGCGAAGGCGGUUGACUGGGCCGUUUCUGACGCUCAAGCACGAAAGCGUAGGUAGCAAACAGG